rnacentral:rRNA from 1 species
UUAAAGUAGUAAGGGCGCAGGGUGGAUGCCUUGGCACUAAGAGCCGAUGAAAGACGUGAUAAGCUGCGAAAAGCUUCGGGGAGGAGCACAUAUCCAUUGAUCCGGAGAUAUCUGAAUGGGGAAACCCGGCAGAGGAAACCUCUGUCAGCAUGUAGUGAAUUCAUAGCUGCAUGUGGGGAACCCGGGGAACUGAAACAUCUAAGUACCCGGAGGAAGAGAAAGAAAAUUUAUCGAUUUCCAAAGUAGCGGCGAGCGAAAUGGAAAGAGCCCAAACCGUGAUGCGUGCAUCGCGGGGUUCGGACUGCGUUGUGGCAGACGUAAGAUAGGAGAACGGACUGGGAAGUCCGGCCGGAGAGAGUGAAAGCCUCGUAUCCGAAAUCCCAAGUCGCCUAGCAGGAUCCAGAGUAGGACGAGACACGAGAAACCUUGUCUGAACGAGCGGGGACCACCCCGUAAGGCUAAAUACUUCUUAGUGACCGAUAGCGCAUAGUACUGUGAAGGAAAGGUGAAAAGGACCCCGGGAGGGGAGUGAAAGAGAACCUGAAACCCUGUGUCUACAAGCUGUGGGACCUCUUUAUAUGAGGGACUGCGUACUUUUUGUAGAACGGUCCGGCGAGUUGUGCGUACUGGCGAGGUUAAGGACUUAAGGUCUGGAGCCGAAGUGAAAGCAAGCGUUAAUAGCGCGUCAAGUCAGUGAGUGCAGACCCGAAACCGGGUGACCUAUCCAUGUCCAGGUUGAAGCUUCCGUAAGAGGAAGUGGAGGACCGAACCCACAUCCGUUGAAAAGGGUGGGGAUGAGGUGUGGAUAGCGGAGAAAUUCCAAUCGAACCCGGAGAUAGCUGGUUCUCCUCGAAAUAGCUUUAGGGCUAGCCUCAUGAGAGUCUUAUGGAGGUAGAGCACUGAAUUGCCUAGGGGGCGUCAAAGCUUACCAAAGCAUAUCAAACUCCGAAUGCCAUCAAGAUGAUUCAUGGGAGUCAGACCAUACGAGAUAAGUUGGAUGGUCAAAAGGGAAAGAGCCCAGACCUACAGCUAAGGUCCCAAAGUGCGUGUUAAGUGGAAAAGGAUGUGGGGAUUCUAAGACAACUAGGACGUUGGCUUAGAAGCAGCCAUUCAUUGAAAGAGUGCGUAAUAGCUCACUAGUCGAGAGUCCCUGCGCCGAAAAUGUCCGGGGCUGAAACACGACACCGAAGCUUAGGAAUGUGUAAACAUUGGUAGAGGAGCAUUGUUAGCGGGAUGAAGCCAUACCGUAAGGAGUGGUGGACUGCUAGGAAGAGAGAAUGCCGGAAUGAGUAGCGAGAUGAAGGUGAGAAUCCUUCAGGCCGAAUAUCUAAGGUUUCCAGAGUAAAGCUGAUCUGCUCUGGGUAAGUCGGGACCUAAGGCGAGGUCGAAAGACGUAGUCGAUGGAUAACAGGUUGAAAUUCCUGUACCGCAUAUAAACAGAACUGUGGGGACACAGACAGGGAAUGGAAUCCGGGAAUGGAGAUCCCGGUGCAAGCGAGGUAGGAGUGCUGUUGGCAAAUCCGCAGCACGAUCUGAAGACGUGACGCGUACCGAACAUAAGUAGGGAAGUCCAGGCCCCUGGCUGUCAAGAAAAGCCGCUAUCGUUUUAUAUGUGCCCGUACCGCAAACCGACACAGGUGGAUGAGGAGAGAAUCCUAAGGCCGACGGGAGAAGUAUUGUUAAGGAACUCGGCAAAAUGACUCCGUAACUUCGGGAGAAGGAGUGCCAUGUAAAAGUGGCCGCAGAGAAUUGGCCCAAGCAACUGUUUAGCAAAAACACAGGUCUAUGCAAAACCGUAAGGUGAAGUAUAUGGGCUGACGCCUGCCCGGUGCUGGAAGGUUAAGGGGAGAGGUUAGCGCAAGCGAAGCUUUGAACUUAAGCCCCAGUAAACGGCGGCCGUAACUAUAACGGUCCUAAGGUAGCGAAAUUCCUUGUCGGGUAAGUUCCGACCCGCACGAAAGGCGUAAUGAUUUGAGCGCUGUCUCGACAAUGCAUCCGGUGAAAUUGAAGUACCAGUGAAGAUGCUGGUUACCUGCGCCAGGACGGAAAGACCCCAUGGAGCUUUACUCCA